AGAGUGAAACUCAUUAGAGAGUCAUGGGGCCAUGAGCUGAGUGCGUCAUGUCACUCCAGCCCCAUGUCCCUUGGGAAGAUCAGAGACUAGGGUCAGAAGCAGGCUUAACAAGGCUCUCUUUGAGUUGCAAGGAGGUGAAUUCCCAGAAAACAGAGCUGCUUGAGGUCAGACGGGGCAGGAGAUGCUGUAGACCCCACCCCUGGGGAGGAAUUCAGGGGAAGUCUCCUAAGUGAGAGCUUGGAACGGAUUCAGUGGAAUGAGCUCAACAGCUAAGGUUAGGUACCCCACAUGGGGUCCUCAUAACUGCUGUCCUCCAACCUCU
ensembl:ribozyme RNaseP_nuc Nuclear RNase P